rnacentral:rRNA from 1 species
UAAAACGUAGGAUGCAAGCGUUAUCCGGAUUUACUGGGCGUAAAGCGCGUGUAGGCGGUUCGGUAAGUUGGAUGUGAAAGCUCCUGGCUUAACUGGGAGAGGUCGUUCAAUACUGCCGAGCUAGAGGAUGGUAGAGGGAGGUGGAAUUCCGAGUGUAGUGGUGAAAUGCGUAGAUAUUCGGAGGAACACCAGUGGCGAAAGCGGCCUCCUGGACCAUUUCUGACGCUCAGACGCGAAAGCUAGGGUAGCAAACGGG